rnacentral:rRNA from 1 species
CGGCGGACGGGUGAGUAACGCGUGGGAACGUGCCCUUUGCUUCGGAAUAGCCCCGGGAAACUGGGAGUAAUACCGAAUGUGCCCUACGGGGGAAAGAUUUAUCGGCAAAGGAUCGGCCCGCGUUGGAUUAGGUAGUUGGUGGGGUAAUGGCCUACCAAGCCGACGAUCCAUAGCUGGUUUGAGAGGAUGAUCAGCCACACUGGGACUGAGACACGGCCCAGACUCCUACGGGAGGCAGCAGUGGGGAAUCUUAGACAAUGGGCGCAAGCCUGAUCUAGCCAUGCCGCGUGAUCGAUGAAGGCCUUAGGGUUGUAAAGAUCUUUCAGGUGGGAAGAUAAUGACGGUACCACCAGAAGAAGCCCCGGCUAACUCCGUGCCAGCAGCCGCGGUAAUACGGAGGGGGCUAGCGUUAUUCGGAAUUACUGGGCGUAAAGCGCACGUAGGCGGAUCGGAAAGUCAGAGGUGAAAUCCCAGGGCUCAACCCUGGAACUGCCUUUGAAACUCCCGAUCUUGAGGUCGAGAGAGGUGAGUGGAAUUCCGAGUGUAGAGGUGAAAUUCGUAGAUAUUCGGAGGAACACCAGUGGCGAAGGCGGCUCACUGGCUCGAUACUGACGCUGAGGUGCGAAAGCGUGAGGAGCAAACAGGAUUAGAUA